CCUACGGGAGGCUGCAGUGGGGAAUAUUGCGCAAUGGGGGAAACCCUGACGCAGCGACGCCGCGUGCGGGAUGAAGGCCUUCGGGUUGUAAACCGCUUUUGAUUGGGAGCAAGCUUUCGGGUGAGUGUACCUUUCGAAUAAGCGCCGGCUAACUACGUGCCAGCAGCCGCGGUAAUACGUAGGGCGCAAGCGUUAUCCGGAAUUAUUGGGCGUAAAGAGCUUGUAGGCGGUUCGUCGCGUCUGGUGUGAAAGCCCAUCGCUUAACGGUGGGUCUGCGCCGGGUACGGGCGGGCUAGAGUGCAGUAGGGGAGACUGGAAUUCCCGGUGUAACGGUGGAAUGUGUAGAUAUCGGGAAGAACACCAAUGGCGAAGGCAGGUCUCUGGGCUGUUACUGACGCUGAGAAGCGAAAGCGUGGGGAGCGAACAGGAUUAGAUACCCCAGUAGUC
rnacentral:rRNA from 1 species